UGAAGUUGAUACCAGCAGAAUAGUGCCUAUGCGAAAGACAUCUUAAAACUUGGACAAAUUCUUCUAGACAUUAAUUGUGUUCGAUUUUAAAAUCGUUAUAGAGACUGUUAAUUUUUAAUUUUAUCAUAGCAAUCCCAAGAGACAAUAAUUGCCCUCAUAUUUUUCCGUUUCAUAUAUGGACAGUUAAAGAAAUAUUUCAAUUUAAUGCAAAGAUAUACUUUUGCGGCCCCCAGUAUGUUGAGAAUAUAAUGCAAACGUUAACGUUAUGUUUCCCGUAUUUACGUCUUAUGUUUAUGACGUUACUUUGUACCCUUGGUAUGGGGCCUUCGAUAUAGAGUUUGAGCAUAAAAGUAACACAACGCA
rnacentral:lncRNA from 1 species